UCCUCUCCACCGCUCAAACUAUCUCUUCUUUCUCAAACUGGAAUCCCCUCUAUAACAACAAACAAAACCCUCUCUCUUUCUCUUCCAUUAAUUUCGCCUUCUGCAUCUUACCUGAAAAUGGCAAGCACCAACCCAGAGUCGAUCUCAAAUGACGCCGUCGCGGCGGUUCCGCAGGAGAAUUCGUCGUCCUCGAUUUACAUGGGGAACCCGGAGGAGCUGCAGAAAGUGUUCGACCGGUUCGACGCCAAUGGCGAUGGCAAGAUCUCCGCCACUGAGCUCCGGGACGUGCUCAAGGCGAUGGGCUCCGAUUACACGGAGAACGAGGUCCAGCGUGUGAUGGAGGAGGUCGAUGCCGAUCGCGACGGUUUCAUUAAUUUUCAGGAGUUCUCCGACCUCUGCCGCUCUAACUCCUGUGACUCCUCCGCGGAGCUCCGUGACGCCUUCGACCUCUACGAUCAAGAUCACAACGGCCUCAUCUCCUCCUCCGAGCUCCACCUCGUCUUGAACCGCCUCGGCAUUAAAUGCUCCGUGGAGGACUGUGUUCGCAUGAUCGGCCCCGUCGAUUCCGACGGCGACGGCAAUGUUAACUUUGAGGAGUUCCAGAAGAUGAUGACAACUUCCCUUGCUCCCGCCAAAGAGUAGAUUUCAUUCUCUCCUCUUUCCUCAAUUGCUUAUAUUAUUGGGGAAGGAGGAUUAUGAACCUCUUCUGAUGUGG
rnacentral:lncRNA from 1 species